ensembl:lncRNA
CCAUUUACAAAAUGCUCUUACGCUAUUUCAGUGAGACCCCAGAAUCUUGUCUUCCACUGGCAGACUUCUAUUCUACAAUGCCAUAUGACAAAGAAAGCCCUGUUGACUAUUGGGUCCGUCUCAAUAAUGCGGCCGAAAUCGCUGAUAAUCACCUACAGAAAGAGGUAUGUUCAGGUACAAGCCUAUCACGAAGUGGUCAUCAGCAGAGGUGCAAGAGGCAAUUGACGAGCAUCAAAGGGAGCUGAGAACCAAGAAUCCACAUCCUUACUCUUUCCCUGGCAAUUCGCUUCAGGUAGCAACUGCCGCCGUCAGGCACACAGAGGCCUCUACAGGGGACAACACUGCAGUUAACUCAGCAGCGUGCAUCCCUGGUACCCAUGCCACAAAGCCUGAGAUCGCCACAGCGCCUCCACACACAGCCUUGACUGACACUGGUACAUUAGAGCGAGUGCUCAGCAUGCUGGAAAGAGUGCUCGAACGCACUAAUGCGCAGGCUGCUUCUGAUAGACCGCAAAUACCUUCUUGGUCUCGUCCAUCCAAAUGUCGUGUUUGUGGUGAGAGAACCCAUUCCACACGGUCACACUGCAUGUCUGAGAAAAGAUGUCUAAACUGCUUAGAAGUUGGUCACCUGCGCAGGGAUUGCCCUAAGAAAAGUGCUGAGUAUGGGAGUCGCUCCCAGAUUCAGGGAAACUGACACGCCUGCACUUGGGAGGGGAUAGUGUGGGUGAAGAAGUUCAGACCCUCCAAGAUGAUGCAUCAAACAUAUAUGAGUCUACUUGUAAAACAGUUACUAGUGAUAAUAUGGUCCUGUUUCAGAAUGUGACGCAGCUGGCUCGGGCAGACAGCCUUUUCUACACCGAC